rnacentral:rRNA from 1 species
UACGUAGGGGGCUAGCGUUGUCCGGAAUCAUUGGGCGUAAAGCGCGUGUAGGCGGUCCGGUAAGUCCGCUGUGAAAGUCGGGGGCUCAACCCUCGAAUGCCGGUGGAUACUGUCGGGCCAGAGUACGGAAGAGGCGAGUGGAAUCCUGGUGUAGCGGUGAAAUGCGCAGAUAUCAGGAGGAACACCAAUUGCGAAGGCAGCUAGCUACGCGAUAAUUGACGCUGAUGCACGAAAGCGUGGGGAUCAAACAGG